AACGAACGCUGGCGGCAGGCUUAACACAUGCAAGUCGAGCGCCCCGCAAGGGGAGCGGCAGACGGGUGAGUAACGCGUGGGAAGCUACCCAUCUCUACGGAAUAACGCAUGGAAACGUGUGCUAAUCCCGUAUACGUCCGUCGGGAGAAAGAUUUAUCGGAGAUGGAUGAGCCCGCGUUGGAUUAGCUAGUUGGUGGGGUAAAGGCCUACCAAGGCGACGAUCCAUAGCUGGUCUGAGAGGAUGAUCAGCCACACUGGGACUGAGACACGGCCCAGACUCCUACGGGAGGCAGCAGUGGGGAAUAUUGGACAAUGGGCGCAAGCCUGAUCCAGCCAUGCCGCGUGAGUGAUGAAGGCCCUAGGGUUGUAAAGCUCUUUCACCGGUGAAGAUAAUGACGGUAACCGGAGAAGAAGCCCCGGCUAACUUCGUGCCAGCAGCCGCAGUAAAAC
rnacentral:rRNA from 1 species